rnacentral:rRNA from 1 species
GACGAACGCUGGCGGCGUGCUUAACACAUGCAAGUCGAACGAUGAAGCCUAGCUUGCUAGGUGGAUUAGUGGCGAACGGGUGAGUAAUACGUGAGUGACCUACCUUUGACUCUGGGAUAAGCCUGGGGAACUGGGUCUAAUACCGGAUACGACCAAUCUCCGCAUGGGGUGUUGGUGGAAAGCGUUAUGGAGUGGUUUUAGAUGGGCUCACGGCCUAUCAGCUUGUUGGUGAGGUAAUGGCUUACCAAGGCGACGACGGGUAGCCGGCCUGAGAGGGUGACCGGCCACACUGGGACUGAGACACGGCCCAGACUCCUACGGGAGGCAGCAGUGGGGAAUAUUGCACAAUGGGCGCAAGCCUGAUGCAGCGACGCCGCGUGAGGGAUGACGGCCUUUCGGGUUGUAAACCUCUGUUAGCAUCGAAGAAGCGAAGUUGACGUUAGGUGCAGAGAAAGC